rnacentral:rRNA from 1 species
AUUGAACGCUGGCGGCAUGCCUUACACAUGCAAGUCGAACGGUAACGGGCCUUCGGGCGCCGACGAGUGGCGAACGGGUGAGUAAUGCAUCGGAACGUACCUUUCAGUGGGGGAUAACGUAGCGAAAGUUACGCUAAUACCGCAUAUUCUGUGAGCAGGAAAGCAGGGGAUCGAAAGACCUUGCGCUGAUUGAGCGGCCGAGGUCAGAUUAGCGAGUUGGUGAGGUAAAGGCUCACCAAGGCGACGAUCUGGAGGGGGUCCGAGAGGAUGAUCCGCCACACUGGAACUGAGACACGCUCCAGACUCCUACGGGAGGCAGCAGUGGGGAAUUUUGGACAAUGGGGGCAACCCUGAUCCAGCCAUGCCGCGUGAGUGAAGAAGGCCUUCGGGUUGUAAAGCUCUUUCGGCCGGGAAGAAAUCGUAUGGGCUAAUACCCUGUGCGGAUGACGGUACCGGCAUAAGAAGCACCGGCUAACUACGUGCCAGCAGCCGCCGUAACAC